rnacentral:misc_RNA from 1 species
AGUCGUAACAAGGUUUCCGUAGGUGAACCUGCGGAAGGAUCAUUACCGAGUGAGGGCCCUCUGGGUCCAACCUCCCACCCGUGUUUAUUUUACCUUGUUGCUUCGGCGGGCCCGCCUUAACUGGCCGCCGGGGGGCUCACGCCCCCGGGCCCGCGCCCGCCGAAGACACCCUCGAACUCUGUCUGAAGAUUGAAGUCUGAGUGAAAAUAUAAAUUAUUUAAAACUUUCAACAACGGAUCUCUUGGUUCCGGCAUCGAUGAAGAACGCAGCGAAAUGCGAUACGUAAUGUGAAUUGCAAAUUCAGUGAAUCAUCGAGUCUUUGAACGCACAUUGCGCCCCCUGGUAUUCCGGGGGGCAUGCCUGUCCGAGCGUCAUUGCUGCCCUCAAGCCCGGCUUGUGUGUUGGGCCCCGUCCUCCGAUUUCCGGGGGACGGGCCCGAAAGGCAGCGGCGGCACCGCGUCCGGUCCUCGAGCGUAUGGGGCUUUGUCACCCGCUCUGUAGGCCCGGCCGGCGCUUGCCGAUCAACCCAAAUUUUUAUCCAGGUUGACCUCGGAUCAGGUAGGGAUACCCGCUGAACUUAAGCAUAUCAAUAAGCGGAGGAA